AUACUACUGUUUUAAAAUAGAAAUUACAAAAUUAUAAGUUUUAUAGGUUUCAAUAUUUUAUCACAGAACAAACUUUCAAUAAGAAACCACAGUUUCCAAAUGCUACCAAUAUCACAAAUCUGCCUAAGGACACUCUCACAUGCUCUGAGCCCCACUCUCUCCUCAGGCCUCUCACCCUAGAGCUUGCUAAAUAGUAGGAGACAUGCAAAUAGAGCCCUCCCUCUGCUGAUGAAAACCAGCCCAGCUCUGACCCUGCAGCUCUGGGAGAGGAGCCCCAGACCUGGGAUUUUCAGGUGUUUUCAUUUGGUGAUCAGGACGGAACAUAGAGGACGCACCAUGGAGUUUGGGCCGAGCUGGGUUUUUCUUGUUGCUAUUUUAAAAGGUGUCCAGUGUGAGGUGCAGCUGGUGGAGUCUGGGGGAGGCUUGGUCCAGCCUGGGGGGUCCCUGAGACUCUCCUGUGUAGCCUCUGGAUUCACCUUCAGUGACCACUACAUGGACUGGGUCCGCCAGGCUCCAGGGAAGGGGCUGGAGUGGGUCUCAAGUAUUAGCACUGGUAGCGGUAGUACCACAUUGUACCCAGACUCUGUCAAGGGCCGAUUCACCAUCUCCAGAGACAACGCCAAGAACACACUGUAUCUGCAAAUGAACAGCCUGAGAGCCGACGACACGGCUGUGUAUUACUGUGCGAGACACACAGUGAGGGGAGGUGAGUGUGAGCCCAGACACAAACCUCCCUGCAGAAACGUUCAGGGGAAAUCAGCUGCAGGGGGCACUCAGGACCCACUGAUCAGAGUCAGCCCCAGAGGCAGGUGCUAUAG